AGGGCACCACCAGGAGUGGAGCCUGCGGCUUAAUUUGACUCAACACGGGAAAACUUACCUGGUCCUGACACUAGAAGGAUUGACAGAUUGAUAGCUCUUUCUUGAUUUGGUGGAUGGUGGUGCAUGGCCGUUCUUAGUUGGUGGAGUGAUUUGUCUGGUUAAUUCCGAUAACGAACGAGACUCUAGCCUAUUAAAUAACACGCAGAAUCUUGUCUUCUGCGGUGUUUCUUAAUGGGAUCAAGUGUGUUUAACGCUUUGAAACAGAGCAAUAACAGGUCUGUGAUGCCCUUAGAUGUUCGGGGCUGCACGCGCGCUACAUUGAAAGACAAAAUGAGCCUUCUAGUUUUUAAUAAAGCUAGUGAUCUUUGAAUGUUUUUCUUAAUGGGGAUAGGGGAUUGCAAUUGUGCCCCUUGAACGAGGAAUUCCCAGUAAGUGCUAAUCAUUAGUUAGUACUGAUUACGUCCCUGCCCUUUGUACACACCGCCCGUCGCUACUACCGAUUGAAUGGUUUAGUGAGAU
rnacentral:rRNA from 1 species